AACGAACGCUGGCGGCGUGGUUUAGGCAUGCAAGUCGAGCGAGAAAGUCCUUCGGACGGAGUACAGCGGCGAAGGGUAGAGUAAUAUAUAGGUAACCUACCUCUUGGACUCGGAUAAUUCCUGGAAACGGGUUAGGUAAUACGAGAUCGUCCUAUUGGGUCGCAUGGCCCGACCUGGUAAAUGGUAGCUCUGCUUCUGCCGAGAGAGGGGCCGUAUAUCCUAUUAGCUAGUUGGUGAGGUAAUGGCUCACCAAGGCUUUGAUGGGUAGCCGGACUGAGAGGUUGGCCGGUCACACUGGGACUGAGACACUGCCCAGACUCCUACGGGAGGCUGCAGUCGAGAAUCUUCCGCAAUGGACGCAAGUCUGACGGGGCGACGCCGCGUGUAGGAUGAAGGCCCUCGGGUUGUAAACUACUGUUGCGCACUAGGAAAAGUGUGAGGUUAAUAGCCUUGCACCUGACCAAUGCGUGAGGAAGCACUGGCUAACUCCGUGCCAG
rnacentral:rRNA from 1 species